UACUGCAUUUUUUCUUACACAUGUGUUUUUCUUUUUUUGAAAACUUUGCUUUGGUAGGGUCGUGUGGGGCCUGCCAGAGAUUAAACUCAACCAAAUUUUAUUUAAUGUCAACCGAUUAUUUAAUAGUCAAAACUUUCAACAACGGAUCUCUUGGUUCUCGCAUCGAUGAAGAACGCAGCGAAAUGCGAUAAGUAAUAUGAAUUGCAGAUAUUCGUGAAUCAUCGAAUCUUUGAACGCACAUUGCGCCCUUUGGUAUUCCAAAGGGCAUGCCUGUUUGAGCGUCAUUUCUCCCUCAAACCCUCGGGUUUGGUGUUGAGCGAUACGCUGGGUUUGCUUGAAAGAAAGGCGGAGUAUAAACUAAUGGAUAGGUUUUUUCCACUCAUUGGUACAAACUCCAAAACUUCUUCCAAAUUCGACCUCAAAUCAGGUAGGACUACCCGCUGAACUUAAGCAUAUCAAUAAGCGGAGG
rnacentral:rRNA from 1 species